rnacentral:rRNA from 1 species
GACGAACCGUACAAACGUUAUUCGGAAUCACUGGGCUUAAAGGGUGCGUAGGCGGCCCGAAAAGUUGGGUGUGAAAGCCCUCGGCUUAACCGAGGAACUGCGCCCAAAACUGUCGGGCUCGAGGGACACAGAGGUAAGCGGAACUUAGGGUGGAGCGGUGAAAUGCGUUGAUAUCCUAAGGAACACCAGGAGCGAAAGCGGCUUACUGGGUGUCUUCUGACGCUGAGGCACGAAAGCUAGGGGAGCGAACGGG